CGCACGGUGGCUUAGUGCUCAGCGCGUUGGCCUCACGCCGCCAGGGUCGGGGGUUCGAUUCCCGCAGUUCUGUGUGU